AUGUGGAGCGCUUAGAAGUGAGAAUGCCGGUGUGAGUAGCGAAAGACGGGUGAGAAUCCCGUCCACCGAUUGACUAAGGUUUCCAGAGGAAGGCUCGUCCGCUCUGGGUUAGUCGGGUCCUAAGCUGAGGCCGACAGGCGUAGGCGAUGGAUAACAGGUUGAUAUUCCUGUACCACCUAUAAUCGUUUUAAUCGAUGGGGGGACGCAGUAGGAUAGGCGAAGCGUGCGAUUGGAUUGCACGUCUAAGCAGUAAGGCUGAGUAUUAGGCAAAUCCGGUACUCGUUAAGGC
rnacentral:rRNA from 1 species